UCAUAUUAAUAGUUGUAAAGCUUUUAAAAUAACUGCUAAACUUUUGUCCGGCAAUUAACAUUUCCUAAAUGUCAGGGUGGCGCAACCAUAAACAUUGGACUUUUAUUUUGAAGUGAAGAGACAAUAGCUGUACACAGGAUGUUGCAUCAGCCAAGAGACCCUUGGGACUAAGCUAAAAGAUGCCACUAUCAACUAAAGAAAAAUCAGCACGACAUCGGGCACGCAUUAAAAAUGAUCCAGCUGCAAGGGAAGCAUAUCUGGCAAAAAGAAAAGAGAGUUAUCAGAGGAGGAAGAGAGAGGGAAAGAUUGUGAAGCCCCCCAUCAGCCAACUGUCUAAGCAAAAAAAAAAAAAAAAUGAGGCAACAGUGGAGGCAAGAUCGGAGAAAGCACAGGGAGCGUAAAAGGGGGCCAUGGAGGAAAUCUUGAAUUUCACACCAGCGAUCACCAGUGAUCUAAAUGUAUACUUUACCUGAUGGUGCAACGAAGCACGCCCUUUACCUGUGAGGAGUUUUACAGCUGCACACUGUAAGGAAAAGUGACCCACCAACCCCAAACCUGCACCAUCACUCAUCUGCAAUGGGAAUCCAAGCGGCCAUGUUUUCGGUCGGCCUGCCCAACUCGGAGAGUGUUGCC